rnacentral:rRNA from 1 species
UACGAAGGGGGCUAGCGUUGCUCGGAAUCACUGGGCGUAAAGGGUGCGUAGGCGGCUUUUUAAGUCAGGGGUGAAAUCCUGGAGCUCAACUCCAGAACUGCCUUUGAUACUGAGAAGCUUGAGUCCGGGAGAGGUGAGUGGAGCUGCGAGUGUAGAGGUGAAAUUCGUAGAGAUCCCCAAGAACACCAGUUGCGAAGGCGGCCGUCUGGACACAUAUUGACGCUGAGGCUCGAAAGCAUGGGGAGCAAACAGG